UGUUUGCUUUUUUGCAGAAGGCUUCAGAUGGAGUUAGCCAAAGGGAAGCCACUGACUUUCCAGCGCUGGGAAGUGGAUUUCAGUCCGCUCUCCCACGACCACGGAGUGGUUACUCGCAGAAAGAAGUACGAGUUGUCUUGGAUGCGCAGAGCCACGUGGGUACGGUCAUCUAGAAGAAGGAAUUCUGAGUCCUUGGCUCUAGAAACGUCAAGAUUGGCAGUCUGCAGACAACGUUCUCCAAAAAACCAACUUGGAUUUUUAUCUAUUUACACUGUUAACCACUGUUACCCUGGACAAGAAAGGAAGAGAAAGUGUCUACUUUUCUUGACUCUGCGGGAUUUUUUUUCCCCCACAAUUAUAAUUCGGAAAGCCAAUAAAGGAAGCAUAUUAGAAGUUA
rnacentral:lncRNA from 1 species